ACCUUACAAGGUGUCUGUCGUGGGGAGAGGAAGGGAAAGGAGCUUGUAAGCCACCUUGAGUCUCCUUACAGGGGAGAAAGAAAAGUGGGGUAUAAAUCCAAACUCUUCUUCUUCAGUCUGAACCCAUUGAA